GGGCCGUUAGCUUAGUUGGUUAAAGCAUCCGGCUCAUAACCGGAGGAUCCGGGGUUCGAGUCCCUGACGGCCUACCA
rnacentral:tRNA from 1 species